rnacentral:rRNA from 1 species
CCUGACGCCCAUAUGUUACAACGUUAAAAUACAUAUAAUUUAGAAUCUUGCUAUAAUUAAGCUUUGAUCUUGCCAAGAAGAGAGAAAGAUCAAACGCAUACUCAUAUAAUUAAGCUCUUUUUGCGAUGAGGUCUUCACACAAGAUUAUCACAGAACCCAACAAGUUUUAUUCAUAACAUUAUAUAGACAAGGCACGAACAUACCAUGAAGAUACAAUACAAUGAAAAAGAAUGUCGAACAAACCAAAAAGAGGCAAGAGCUAGAACACUCAUCGAACCACCGCCGAUCUCUCAAAGGAAAUACUCUCUGCUCCACUCCAUCCAUCCAACCCAAAGGUGCGACCAUCAUCUACUGCAUCAUCGCCGCCGCCAGAAGGGACACCAGUGCCGAGGACACCACGGCCAACGCGGACACGCUGGCGGCCGCGCCGGCGUCAGGCGCCGGAGCAGGGGCCGAGGAAGGCGCCGUGAAGUCCUGCGCCGACGCAGAGGCGAAGAAGACGGCCACGGCCAGGAGCAGCACGGCGACGCGUGGAGCCAUGACGACCUUGCGCUGUAGUAGCUUGCGGGCUUGCUAGUUGAUCGAAGAAUCGGCGAGGAGGAGAAUGGGUAAUCUGGGUGGGAUGCGGGGAUGAAGGGGGCACCGUGGGGUUUUAUAGCUGGCCGGCCCGUCGGUUCGGUGGUCGCGCUCUUACGUUCUACAGGGGGCAGGAAUCGGGCGUGCGUAGUAGCACGACGCGUUCGGUCGGUCGCGCGAGGUGGGAACGCACGUUGCGGUUCGGCGCGGCCGGCGUGGGGAGUUUCCGCG